GUGGAAUGGACGCGCGAGGCGGGGAGCGGCCGGGCCUCGGGGGAGCCGCCUCCCUCUCCCCGUGCGCACCCCGCGGCCGCUCUACUGCGGAGCCCAGGGCUCAGGGGUCGUCAUGGACGCGGCGGAGAGGCUCCCGGGCUCGGGCCCUCCCGCUGCUGAGGAGACCGGGCGGGCGGCGGGACCCGACGACGGCACGAACAGCAUGUCUCACAAAGAGGAUGUCCUUCAGCUGGGUCCCAGGAUGAUGGCACAAAGCUGAAGAUAACUGCGACUGACAGCAUGAAGAGAGAGACACCUGACUAGAGGAACACUGGGGAUUGAGCCCACAACCCGGGCAUGUGCCCUGACCGGGAAUCGAACCGUGACCUCCUAGUUCAUAGGUCGAUGCUCAACCACUGAGCCACGCAGGCUGGGCUCCUGAAGACUUUUAAUUGUAUCUCAAGUGAUCCUUAUUUUGUGAACAACUUUGUACCUUUCUGAAGCCCAUCCUUUCAGGGGGUCAUGACUAAUGCCCUGGAGACCAUUACCCUGAAAACGGUGUUUGGAUUAUUUGUCUGGAAAGCAUCUUCUGGUGUAUCUUUGAACACUCACCUGUCAUGUCUCUGCCCACUCAUCCAGCCUGGUGCCAUCUCCCUGCAGUUUAUUCUGCACCGGGCAUUUUACUAACUAAAAGUUUCAUGUCAUAUGUCACUUUGGAUAUUUCACACACAUGCUCACCUCUGAAUCACUUACCAAACUAUUUCAUAAGAAUGCGUUAGAGCCAAUCCCUGGUGUACCCUGCUGUUUAAACCUCCUUAUUCAGGUGGAAUGGAAUGUUAAAGUGGAAGUUUCAGCUGAGAUCCUAGAGCAGGGGUGGGCAACCCCUGGCACGCGUGCCAAACAUGACACGUCAGUAACUUUUGCUGGCACUCGAAACUCUCUCAGAAAAAGAAAAGAUUAUUCAGCGCAUUAAAGAUUUGUCUUUGAGAGGGAAAACAGUUAAUGAUAGGAUACUUAAGUUGGCGAGUAAUACUGCUGAACAAUUAACAAAAGAUUUGUCUUCAUGUCAAUUUUUUCCUAUUUGUAUUGAUGGAAGUACAGACAUUACAUCGUCAUCUAAGCUGGCCAUUUUUUCUUGACUUUGUAAAUGAUGAAAUAUGUGAAGAGAUGGUUGCCCUUCUAACUCUACCUGAGCGUACUACCGGGGCUGAAAUAUGUAAAGCAGUUAUGAACAAAUUCUCUUCUCGACAAAUUGACAUUGCAAAAGUAGUGUCCGUCACCACUGGUGGUGCUCCUGCAUGACUGGUGAGAAGGCAGGUUUUGUAAAUCUGUUUGCGAAAGAAGUUGCUCAUACACUGAUGGGUUUUCAUUGCAUCAUACAUGAUGAGGCUUUAUGUGCAAGAGCUGGCCUGAAGGAACUGCAGGAAGUGAUGCAAACAGUUACCAAAGUUGUUAAUUACAUUUCUGCUCGGGCUUUAAAUAAAAUACAAUUUUAAGUUUUACUGAAAGGCAGAAUCUGUGUAUAAAGGACUGAAAAUGUACAAUGUUCGAUGGCUUAGCCGAGGUUUGGUUCUGAAACGAUUCGUUGAAUGCUUAAAUGAGAUAACACUCUUCCUGAAUAACCAACAUGUUUCUUACCAAGAAUUGUCUGACGCCACGUGGGUUUCUAAACUGAUGUUCUUUGCAGAUUUUUGUGAACAUUUGAAUGACUUAAAUGUUAAAUUACAAGAAACUGGCAAGACACUUGAUGUUGUUUGGUUACAUAAAGGCUUUUGAAAAGAAACUAGAAGUCUUUAAGAAGGAUAUGGAUGGUGAGAGAUUUAGAUAUUUCCCAAACCUCAAGCGGCACAUCAAAGACCUCCCAAAAGAUGACAGAACAGACUGUCAAAGCCUUCAAAAGCUGUUUUUAAACAUCAUUGAGUCAACUAUU